GGGUGUGUGGACCACGCCUGGCUGCAGAAUUUCUCCUGGGGGAGCACACGUGCGUUCGGGUACUGGAUCCCUGCUCUUGCACGUCCACUCCUUGGAGCAGCAGCAGCGUCGGUGACCGUGCAGGGACCCCGGGCUCCACUCAGACCUGCAGGGAGUGUCUCCACUGGGGAACCCGCCCUCCCCAGCGAGCAGAAGCCCCAGAGACCUGUGCAGGGGGCAGGAGAGGGGUCCAGGAAAGGCCAGAACCUGCCAGCAUGGGCAGGAAAAGGGGAGGCUGGGCUCAGGGAAGGAGAGGGAUGAUUUGAGAGGGACAGGAAAUUAAACCCAAGGGAACUCCCUCAACCCAGUAACAUUUCUUCACAUAAUUAGCCCCGGAGACAGGAAGGGCUCGUCACUAGCAAUGCAUUCAGGAGCUUUGAGAGUCGGACCGGAACAGGCUUUCCUUCUCCUUCUCACAGGUUCCAGUUAAAAAGGUCAGAGUGGACCCACGUGGUGUUUCUUACCUGUUUUUUGUUUGUUUGUUUUUUUUUAUUUGGAGACCAACGCCCCCUUUCUCACGCUGGCAUCAAAGACCCUCUGGUAACACAGCACAUUCUGUCAGACUGUCAGACAGGCUGAAUUAAAUAUCAUUUAAUCGAGCAAUAAAAGUCCAAAGGGAGGCUGCCUGUGGGAACCCGCCCUGAGGAUCUCCUGCAGGACGUGCAAGCGGAUGGCACCGCGGCUGUGGAAAAGGAGGGGACAGGCAGUGACCCCAGCCAGCCACAAGCCCGCCCCACACAUUUGUGCAGGGUGCAGGCCCAAACCCACACGUGCGUGGACAGUGGGCACCACACUGGAACGGACUUUGCCAGGAAGCAGGGAUUUCUACCUGCUAUCCUGAAAGAUGCUCUGCCUGCACACCGUGGAUGGGCAUGGAGCUGGCCCGCAGCCCUCGGGGGACAGACAGACAGACAAGAGGCCAGAACGUCUUCUCCACGAAAGCUUUCCGCCUUGGCACACAGUAAACCAAUGCAGCGAAAAUACAGAGGACAAAACCCCAAGAUGUGUGUGCCUUCAGAAAAGGCUAGGGCGCAUUCUAAAGUUGAGGCAAUUCAAGAGGAAAUUAAUUCAGCGGAGGACAAAGGCCCAGAGCAGCGCAUCACAGGCUGCCCGCGGUGUCCUGCUGGGGCCGAGCUUGUUAGGGCCAGGCAAGGCCUUUGUGCUCCACCAGCUUUCACAGCCUCAGAAGCCCAGUGGGGCACAAGGAGAUGACGUCACAAACAGGUUUCCCUGCGAGCGCAGCAGGAGGAGCAGAGACCUCAGGGACAACUCCCAUCGGGGCGUCACGGCCUACCAGCCAGCAGAUCCCGCAGGAGCUGAGGCUGCAGGGAAAGCCAGAUGGACGCCGCACGGUAGCACACCCACAGACUCCGAACACGUGUCUGGGCUCUGCACUUGGAUGGGAGUACAGCCUGCGUCUGUGGAUUCCACGUGCUGCUGGAAUGUCCCCUUUGCUGGGACACCAGAGGACACCCGAACAAACCGGCCUACCUGUCAGAGCCUGGAGGCUGCCCCAAGCCAGCAUCUGUGGUUCCACAUGAGCUGAGGGCCAUUUUAUGCCGGCCUCGCUCUCCCUCCAGCCCUUCUGGGCUUGGCCGGCCUUCCCCCAUCCCCCCGAGCCCUCCCAGCAAUCCUGUCCCAGGUGAGAGAACGAGGCUGGCAUGGAACAGCCCUCAGUUGACGUGGGGGAGCAACGGAUGCCCUGGGCGGGCUGGUGGAUACCAGAACACCCUGGGGACAUCUGAGGACGCCCCAAGGACACCUGCGGAUACCCCAAAGACACCUGAGGAUGCCUGAGGAUGCCCUGACGCCCCGAGGACACCUGCGGACAUCUGAGGAUGCCCCGAGGACCCCUGCAGAUACCCCAAAGACACCUGAGGACGCCCCGAGGACAUCUGAGGACGCCCGGAGGACAUCUGAGGACAUCUGAGGAUGCCCCAAAGACACCUGAGGACGCCUGAGGAUGCCCCGAGGACACCUGCGGAUACCCCAAAGACACCUGAGGAUGCCUGAGGAUGCCCCGAGGACACCUGAGGAUACCCCAAGGACACCUGGAGUAUGGAAAGGUAAAGAUAAGCCCACAUGAAGAUGCUGAGAAGCCAAGGAAUGAGAGGAAAGCAUUUCGGAGAAACCAGGGAACGAGAGGAAGGCAUUUCGGAGAGAAUCCAGGGUGGCUGUAGGUUCAUUCACCCCACAGAUGCCUUUGGAGUGCUGCCUGUGCGCUGCCUGUGAAAAGUAGCCCGUGACUUUGUGGCGUUCAGGAGCCAGCAAAAGUCCCGUGCUUAGAAUUCCAGCCUGUGAGCCGGGGACCCUGCUGUCCGCCCCCGGGGUGUUUCCCAGGUGGCCCUGAGCUGAGACUCCGUGGGAAGCAGGUGGCUGAGCAGGGAGAGGAGAUGUGGCCAGGUGGGACUCAGGCACCAGCCACCAGGGAUGCUCUGGAUUUCACCCCAAGGCCCCUCUCCAGGGGCCCCAAUGGAGCCGCGAUCCCAGCAGUUGGACCCUGGUGGCAUUGUUUUUGAAGUUGGUGUUUCCAGACAAGACACAAAACUGUAGAGUAUGACAUGGCCAGGCCGGGUGGGGACUCAAGAGAGGUCAGGGUUGGGACGAGGCCACGGCCUCUGGGCCAGGGGGCAUUCCGGGGGCUCCGUGGCAGCACUCAGAAUUCUGCCAGGGCUGGGAGUGGCAGGGGGCAGGGAAAUGCCAUCUACUUCAGAGUGGGAAAGGCUGGGUUCAGUCAACAGAGCUCAGGAGGCUGAAGGGCCUGAAGGAGCCUGGGGUUUGGUCAAGAGGGAGAAUUGGGAUGGAAAGGGGGCACCUAGACCCCAAGAAUGAGGUGGCAGGCGGGGGCUUGGCAGAGGUCAGGGGGGACGGACCAGAAGGUUGGGAAACCCAGUCCUGAGUUUCUCAACCUGUGCAGGCUCUGGAGUCCAGGAGGGUCAGCACCAGGGCCUUGCACCUGGCACACCUGGUAUCCCUGCAGGGGGUGGCCGCCGAGGGCCCACACCACCCACACUGGGCUUGUCACCUUCAUCCCACACAGAAGCACACUGCAGAAGUGUUCUGACUGUACAGUUUCUAACAGCAGAAAAUGUACACACCACUUGUGUGAUUUUCUUUAUAAAGAAACUGAAGCAGAUUUUUAUUCUUUAUUGCGAGCAGAUUCAGGUCUCCUGCUUAGAUAAUCUAGAGAAAAGUCCAAUAUAAUAUUAUCAAGUUAGUUUAUCUACAGAAAUAAAAGUUAAAAACAGGAGCAUACAAAAUAAACUUUACAGAAAUGUUAGAUUUGGUUUAAUUUAUAUUUUAACUUUUCAAAGCAGAUUAAUGAUCAGUUAAAUGUUAAUGUGUGGAGGCUUGAUUUAUGUUAAAUGCACCUACUAUGUUUAAUAAUUUAAAAAUAAACUCCAGUAUUUAUGAUGAUGACAGCUAUGGAUACCAUUCAUAUUAAAUACAUUUUGAAGACCUUCUUUUAUUACAUUACCUAAUGAAUAGACAUUUUAAAUGGUAACGCAGACAUUAUAAUUUUAAGUCAGACACAAUAUAUGCAUAUUAAAAUUCUGUAUACUUUGAUAAAGUAAAAAAUAAAGCUAUAUAAAUUGAUCUUUAGAUUUUUUCUGCAAAAGUAGAAUCACACUUUCAUGACACUUCUAACACAUCCCCAUCAAAGCUGCUUAUAGACACAAUAUCAGAAAGAUUUUCAUUCCAGUUCACCCACCUUUAGCUUAAAAAAAAAAAAAAAAAAA